AUUAUGCAUAACUGGCAUAGGAAGAGGGAAAGUUGACAUAAUUCUCCAUCUUAACUCUCCAGAUAUACAAGGAACCAGAAUGUCCAACAUGAGGAGUAUGAUCCAUCGAUGUCUUGUGAUCUUGUUCCUGUGACUCAUUGUCCAAGAGCUGGAUCCUUCGAGUGAGGAGCACAAUAACCUACAGAGCUGCUGGUAGAAUGCAGAGGGAACUGGAGCACUCUCCAUGACUCUUCGGCUCUGUGUCACAUGCUCAGGCACCUGCCUGCCAAUUAUGAUGGAGAAACUCCCAAACUCUGUGUUGAACCAUGGGGAUCAGGGAGUAUCCUGACAAGGACUGAGAGUUUCAAGAAGAGCCAGGCUCAAGCUUCAAGGGGACAUACGCCUGACCACCCACCAGCCAACAAUGCAACUCUGGAUACAAGUGCCUGUGCCCUUCCUCCAGUUGCUGGAUCUAUGCUCCAUCAGCUUUCAGGAGCUCCAGCUAUGAAGUCCUGGUCAAGCCAGUCAAGAAUGGUUCAAUGAUCCCAGAUCCUGACUUUUGUUUGCAACAGGUACUGGAACUUGGACCACCACCAACAGGAGCACAAGAAUCCAACCAGCUGCAGGGUGGAGAGCAGAGACAACUGGAGACUUCCCCAUAAAACUUGUACAUUCCUUCUUCAGGCUUCCAAUGCCUAAUCUGUGAUUCUAGACACAGGACAGGAGGAGACUGAGAGGUGAAUGCUGGCCAGGCCUGGGUGUUCUGCUGGGGCAGUGACCUGCAAAUGAUGUUCUGUUGACUAAGUUGUAAGCUGGUAAUUGGUGAAAUCUAAGAGGCUCUUUGAAAUGUACAGUGUGUGAAUCUGUAGCAUGCUGGGCACAAAAUCUUAACAGUAAUGUUAUUUUCUAUAACCUCUAAGACUGUUUAAUAAUUCCAGUUAUUUACUCAUGUUUUCUUUAGUUUUGUUUGAUGAGGUGGCUGGAAUUAUCAUCAUAUAGAUUCACACCGUCUAUGAAUGAAAAUUCUACUGGCAGUGCCACUGAGGCGAGCAACUUAUCCUCCCUCCUUCACUUCCACCCUGU